ACAUUCCUUAAAAACAUGGUGAAACUUUUAGUAUGAAACUUUUCAAACAUAUAGAAAAUUAGAAAAGAUAGCAUAAUGCACACCCGUAUAGCUAUCACCCAGCGUCCAUAGCACGUUGCCAUAUUUUACUCAAUCAUUUUAAAGUAAAUACAGACACAUAACACUUCACCCCUAAACAUGCAAAUCUGCAUCUGAAAGAAUAAGGUCAUUUUCCUACAUAACCACAACACCAUUAUCACACCUAACAAAAUUAACAAUAAUUCCUUACUAUCAACUAAUAAAUUGGUCCAUAUUCAAAUUUCUCCAAUUGUCUCAAAUUGUAUUUUAUAACUUAAAAAAAAAAAAACAGGAUCCAAACAAGAAUAAUGGGUUGCAUUUGGUUUUUGUGUUUCUUACCAUCGUUUAAAGCUAGUGUCCAUGUUCAUACUUUGAUUACAAUAUCCUUAUGGCUGGAUUUUUGGUAACGGUGCUCCAGAAGACUAUCUUGAAAAGUUUCCCUCUCGGAGUUCCUAUGAACACCACCUUAUCUCUGUAGGAUGCCAUUUGCCUUCUGAGUGUAUCAUCUCAUUUGAUUCUCUCAGCAACACUGGACGUCCCGGUUUUCUCAGUCAUAAACAUGAGAUAAUAUUAAUUUCAUUGAAGGGAACUCUCCUGCCACCUCCUUGCUUACUCUUUAACCCCAGAAGAGCAUCCCCAUACAAAUAAACCCAUAAGUGGAGUCCUGAGUCCACCGACUCAAGCAUUUCAUCACCAUAUCCAAGGCUUGUGUUUGCCGGAGUGAAGGACUCCAGCCGGCUGCUUUCACCGUGUCAUGGUCUCCGUCUUCAAGGAGCAGACGUGAUACUGGAGAAGAACAUCUCUUGCCAUUUUAAAGCCUUUGGAGAACAGAGAGUAAUAAAAUCUUGCCUGGAAGAUGUUUGUGAACUCCUCCAGAGGUGGGUUGGGGACCAUUCCCGCACAGAUGUGGAGACUAAAGUAAGCAGAUAGUCAGUGAGCUGAGUGCCCAUUUUUCUUAAGAGGAGGCUGGAGAAGGGGGAGGUGGUUGUUUACAAUGAUAAGAACAGCAAAACAGUAAACCUGGGUAGCAAUUUGGGCUUUCCAAAGCACUUUCUGUUUUUCACUAAAUUUAUUUUUCCUUUGUUUAAAAAAC
rnacentral:lncRNA from 1 species